AUGAGACUGUGGGGUCUACUUCUUUGCCUGGUGACUGCUCCCGAAGGUGUCCUCUCCAAGGUGCAGCUGCAGGAGUCGGGCCCAGGACUGGUGAAGCCCUCGCAGACCCUCUCCGUCACGUUCACCAUCUCUGGUUACUCCAUCACCAGUGGUUAUGGUUGGCACUGGAUCCGCCAGCCCAUGGGGAAGAGCUUUGAGUGGAUGGGACGCAUAAUUUAUACUGGAAGCACAGGUUAUAACCCAUCGCUCAAGAGCUGCACCUGCAUCACCAGAGACACAUCCAAGAACCAGUUCUCCCUGCAGCUGAGCUCUGUGACCUACGAGGACACAGGCUUGUAUUACUGUGCGAGAGACACACUGACAGGAAGUCAGCGUGACCCAGACACAAACCUCCCUGCAGGAUACAGGAGGGGUCUGGGCUGCAGGGGCCACUCAAGGCCCACCCAGCUCCUGUGCCCCAUGGAGCAGGUGCAGAGGGGAUGGGAGGUUCCUCUUGGGAUCUGA